rnacentral:rRNA from 1 species
CCCGAAACCCGGUGAUCUAGCCAUGGGCAGGUUGAAGGUUGGGUAACACUAACUGGAGGACCGAACCGACUAAUGUUGAAAAAUUAGCGGAUGACUUGUGGCUGGGGGGGAAAGGCCAAUCAAACCGGGAGAUAGCUGGUUCUCCCCGAAAGCUAUUUAGGUAGCGCCUCGUGAAUUCAUCUCCGGGGGUAGAGCACUGUUUCGGCAAGGGGGUCAUCCCGACUUACCAACCCGAUGCAAACUGCGAAUACCGGAGAAUGUUAUCACGGGAGACACACGGCGGGUGCUAACGUCCGUCGUGAAGAGGGAAACAACCCAGACCGCCAGCUAAGGUCCCAAAGUCAUGGUUAAGUGGGAAACGAUGUGGGAAGGCCCAGACAGCCAGGAUGUUGGCUUAGAAGCAGCCAUCAUUUAAAGAAAGCGUAAUAGCUCACUGGUCGAGU